GACGUAGGGCGCAAGCGUUGUCCGGAUUUAUUGGGCGUAAAAGAGCGUGUAGGCGGCUUUACAGGUCCGUUGUGAAAAACUCGAGGCUCAACCUCGAGACGCCGGUGGAAACCGUAAGGCUAGAGUCCGGAAGAGGAGAGUGGAAUUCCCAGUGUAGAGGUGAAAAUUCGUAGAUAUUGGGAAGAACACCAGUGGCGAAGGCGGCUCACUGGCCCGUAAACUGACGCUGAGGUGCGAAAGCGUGGGGAGCAAACAGG
rnacentral:rRNA from 1 species